GGGGCGGUAGUUCAGUUGGUUAGAACGUCGGCCUGUCACGCCGAAGGUCACGGGUUCGACCCCCGUCCGCCCCG
rnacentral:tRNA from 1 species